CUCGUCGCCGCCCGGGUCCCGGGUCUCUGGCGUGCUCUCCGGGCCCGCUGUAGUCGGGUUCCUGACGACUCAGCGCCCACUGCCUUCGGCUUCGCAUUUUUAAUUUCCCCGAACCCGCCUUCCCUGAGCCCGAAGCCGCUUCUCCGCAUUUUCCCAGCACAGCCGCCACUUUGCGCCACAGGCAAAGUCACGGGAACUCCAUCCUUUCACUCCUCAGCACCCCGGCCGGACCCCACGCCCUCCCGGCCAGCGCGGAAAGACCUGGCGGGGGAUUAGAGACCGGGUUCUGACCGGGUGCUCCCUGCGCGGGCAGGCCGUCCCGCCGAGCUGUCGCCGAGCCCCGUCCUCUCCGCGGACCCCGUUUCGGGACUCCGCUCUUAGGUCUCCUCGCUGAUUUUCCGCUUGUGGGU
rnacentral:lncRNA from 1 species